rnacentral:rRNA from 1 species
AGCAGCCGCGGUAAUUCCAGCUCCAAUAGCGUAUAUUAAAGUUGUUGCAGUUAAAAAGCUCGUAGUUGAAUUUCGGGAUCAAUUUAUUGGUCGUGCUAUUGUACGUACUGGUAUUAUUGAUUCCUACCUUCUGACGAACCAUGAUGUCAUUAAUUUGGUGUCAUGGGGAAUCAGGACUGUUACUUUGAAAAAUUAGAGUGUUUAAAGCAGGCUCACGCUUGAAUACAUUAGCAUGGAAUAACGAAAUAGGACGUUUGAUUCUAUUUUGUUGGUUUCUAGGAUCGACGUAAUGAUUAAUAGGGAUAGUUGGGGGCAUUAGUAUUCAAUUGUCAGAGGUGAAAUUCUUGGAUUUAUUGAAGACUAACUACUGCGAAAGCAUUUGCCAAGGAUGUUUUCAUUAAUCAAGAACGAAAGUUAGGGGAUCGAAGACGAUCAGAUACCGUCGUAGUCUUAACCAUAAGCUAUGCCGACUAGGGAUCGGAUGAUGUUAAUUUUUUAAUGUACUCAUUCGGUACCG